GUGAAUUUAAUUUAAUAAAAAUAUUUAAUUUGCAAUUAAAAAAUUUGGGUUCAAAUCCCUAAAUUCACA
rnacentral:tRNA from 1 species